UAUGUCAGAUAUAGGGAAUUCUUGCCUGGAGAGAGCUCUUCAUUUUCGUCCGUCUUGAAGAACUGAAAGCGUUUCUGCCAGCUAAGUUAAGCAUGCGGUUGGUUCUCACCAAUGAGCUUUCAUUUGUGACCAUCGCAGUGAUUUACAAAGCUAGACAUGGAUCAUCUCUUUGCUUUAAAGAUGACAGGAGUGAAUUUAUGCUGAGUCGACCAGCAAUUCUCAUCCAGAUGUAUUUACCACUUGCUGUAUUGUGGUUAAACCAGUUGAGCUUAGGACAUACUGCUGAAUCCAACAAAAAAGUUGCAUCAGCUGGGCUGCACAGCAGAGAGUAAUGCAAAGGCACUGUAGAGCAAAAGCUCCGAGUCUGAAAUAAAUUUGCUAUUUGCCAGAUAAGUCUACUUCUA
rnacentral:lncRNA from 1 species